UCCAUUACACGGGACGGUGCAGUGAUAUCGAACACGCUGUACAUUACAAUAUUUCCAACAUGCCUCGUAUGUAUCAUAAUAGUCUCGUAUUGAUAAAAAGUGCAUUGCUUAUGGAAUAUUUCGCGCCGCGGAAUUCACGAACCGUGUUUGUUCGAGACCGAACGGAGAGAACGUCGGCGCGUGCUCGUUUUUACACACCGUGUCGAGGAAAACCGUUUCAUCUCGGGUCGAGCGACGCGUCAUUGAGAUCCGGUGUGUACCUACGAUUUAGCGUAAAACAUGGUACGGUCGAAAUCAAUCAAGAUCGCUGUGUACAGAGGAAAC